rnacentral:lncRNA from 1 species
UUUGUUAUUUAUUCUUGAGUAGAUGGUCCAUUUGUGCAAUAUCACCAAACUAGAAUAUUGAGAUCUCUAGUAGAAUUAAAUCAAUUUUACAAACUAUUCCUGAUAUGGUAUACUGGCAAAUAUGGAAAAGAAUAAAUAAGAUGAAUCAAUAAAUAUACUUGACAAAACAAAUAAAGAUCUUAUCGAUAACAUACUUGAC